rnacentral:tRNA from 1 species
GCCCGUCUAGCUCAGUCGGUAGAGCGCUGGCCUUUUAAGCCAGUGGUCGUGGGUUCGAGCCCCACGGGGGCG